AUCUCUAUCUGGAGAUCCUUCCUCUUGGAGCCCUUUUGUGAGCUUAGGAUACGGUCUCCCUUCCUGGAAAUCUGAUUUGAGUGAAAACAUGGUGUUAUUGCUCAAGUGUUACUUCAGUUGUUGCAGAAGUGCAAUAUGAUCUGUUAAAACAGAAGAGAGAAUAGGCAGGCCUUCUGCUAGAUGAGAGGAAGCCAUUGGGUAAUAACUGAUUGCCUGUAUUGAAAAGUCAUGUCAUUGCUUUGUUGUGCUCUUUCCUUAAGCUACAGAGUGGCCCAUAGUUUCUGCUUUCUUUACAAGCUCUCUUCAGGGACUGUGUAGUGUAACUGUAUGACGUUUUACAAAGUAACAUCGUCCUUUGCUGCUGCUGCAGCUUGGUGUUGGCAAUCUUGUUCACUCCCUUCUUGCUGGAAAGUUGAUAUAAACUUGUGCUGAUCAGUUUAAGUCAAUGUUUCCAACAAAGGAUUUACAAAUCCUGGAAGCUCAGGUAUGCAACAUCUAGCUGGACAAUGCAUUCGUUGCUGCCAUUUCUAUGUUCUAAAGAACAGAAAUAUUCUAUUUCUUUUAAUUAUAUGUAGAGGAGAUGUGACAGUGAUGAUGCUGAUGUUUACUUUUUUAAUACUGCAAUAUCAGAGCAAGUAUCUAGCAUUGAAGAGACAGGUUCAGUAACAUUUACAACCAGAACAGAUUCAAACAUUCCUUUCCCUCCCAUGACCAGGGAGGCGUUCUUGGCAUCAUGCAUGAGGCUGGUUUGACUGGGUAAUAUAUAUUAUCCCAUCUGUUGAAACUGCUGCAGAACAAAAGGGAAUUGGAAAUCCAUUCAGAGAUAAAUGAGAGAAGGAAGAGAAUAAGUCUUUGCCAGGUUCGACCAGUAAAAGAGUCUAGAACUGCAGUCCAGCUGCCCAGUUAUUUUCUAUUUCACAUACUACUUUUCCAUACGAUUUCAGUUUGCAUAAACUUUUUAAAACAGUAAAAUUCAAAUUUAUGGAGUGGCCUGCUCUAAAUUAAACUCAUGUCAGAAAAUAUCUUUUAAUUUUUCUUUCUAAUGACUGAUGCAUUUUUAUGAGUUUUAUUGUAAACAAUGUUAAAAAAAAAAAAAGCAAAGUGAUACCAGUGGGAGAUGAUAAUAAAGACAUACACUCAAG
rnacentral:lncRNA from 1 species